rnacentral:tRNA from 1 species
GCAAGUGUAGCUCAAUUGGCAGAGCGUUAGUCUUCCAAACUGAUGGUUGAGGGUUCGAUUCCCUCCACUUGCUCCU